UGGGUGAGUGGUGAGAGGUGGGGACUCAGGCAGCAGGGACAACAUUCAGAAACCUGGGAUUCCCCCUCCCCAUCUUC